GAUGAACGCUAGCGACAGGCUUAACACAUGCAAGUCGAGGGGCAGCAUUAUUUUAGCUUGCUAAGAUAGAUGGCGACCGGCGCACGGGUGCGUAACGCGUAUGCAUCCUGCCUGUAAUUAGGGAAUAACCCGGUGAAAGUCGGACUAAUACCCUAUAUUCUUCUUUCUCCGCAUGGGGGAGGACGGAAAGAUUUAUUUUACAGAUGGGCAUGUGUCCCAUUAGCUGGUUGGUAAGGUAACGGCUUACCAAGGCAACGAUGGGUAGGGGGACUGAGAGGUUGACCCCCCACACUGGUACUGAGACACGGACCAGACUCCUACGGGAGGCAGCAGUGAGGAAUAUUGGUCAAUGGGCGAGAGCCUGAACCAGCCAAGUCGUCGUGAAGGACGACGGUUCUAUGGAUUGGUAAAACUUUCUUUUGUAGAGGAAAUAAAUGGCAAGCUAACGU
rnacentral:rRNA from 1 species